UACGAAGGGGGCUAGCGUUGCUCGGAAUCACUGGGCGUAAAGCGCACGUAGGCGGACUCUUAAGUCAGGGGUGAAAUCCUGGAGCUCAACUCCAGAACUGCCUUUGAUACUGGGAGUCUUGAGUCCGGAAGAGGCAAGUGGAAUUCCCGGUGUAGCGGUGAAAUGCGCAGAUAUCGGGAGGAACACCAAUGGCGAAGGCAGCUUGCUGGGACGGUACUGACGCUGAGGCGCGAAAGCGUGGGGAGCAAACAGG
rnacentral:rRNA from 1 species